rnacentral:rRNA from 1 species
CCUACGGUGGGCUGCAGUGGGGAAUAUUGGACAAUGGGGGCAACCCUGAUCCAGCGACGCCGCGUGUGUGAAGAAGGCCUGCGGGUUGUAAAGCACUUUUAGUGGGGAUGAAAAGCUCAGGGCCAAUACCCCUGGGUCUUGACCUAACUCACAGAAAAAGCACCGGCUAACUCUGUGCCCGCAGCAGCGGUAAUACAGAGGGUGCAAGCGUUAAUCGGAAUUACUGGGCGCGGUUGUUUAGUAGACAGGUGAAAUCCCCGGGCGCAACCUGGGAAUUGCAUUCGAUACUGGGCAGCUAGGGCGCGGAAGAGGGAAGCGGAAUUUCCGGUGUAGCGGUGAAAUGCGUAGAUAUCGGAAGGAACAUCAGUGGCGAAAGCGGCUUCCUGGUCCAGCACCGACGUUCAGGCACGAAAGCGUGGGGAGCAAACAGGAUUAGAUACCCUAGUAGUC